UUCCUAAACUGGGUGGCCCUUCCAUCUUCCAUCUUCGUAUGAGCUCGUCAUUCCUCGGAUCAUUCUCAUAUCUCUUUUCUGUCCAAUUUCCCAUGUAAGCUCACCUUUACAGACAGCCUGUGUUGUAGGGGACAAGAUAUAUCACCUGUACUUCUCUGACACUUUAUCACCUGAUGGGUGACACUUUCAUGGCUGAUGAAGUUGGAGUCAUCCUAUAAUCCACUAAUACUGCAGACCUUCCUCAAGCUAGUGUUCCCAGCUCUUUAUCGCUAUUUGUCAUUUCCAACUGAUAAAGUCUCAUUUUACACCUGAAGCAUGUACUGUUGGUGACCGUGUGCUUGAACUUGUACUUUUUUUUCCACAGUUCUAUGAACUCAUUCCUCAAGACUGCGCCUUGAUAUAAAAAAUAUACGGUCUUCAGCUUCCCUAUGCAGCCUAUGGAUGGAUGCAGCAACAUCCUGAACCUACAUGUAUGUAGUGACACCAGGAGAGAAAAUAAGAUUGUGUUCAGAGUCAGGCCUUCAACAGUGGAAAGUUCUGUGUAAAUUAGAUCUUAGAGAAGUAUUUUUUUGCUGCAUCAUGCUAAUACAUGACUAAUAGCUAUACUAGCAAGGUAGAAAGUAAGUGAUGAAGACUGUGUGUUCUGUGGAUUGGCUCCAGAAGGAAUUUAAACAUAUGCACAACAGACUGUGUUUAAGGCAUUCUGAGUACACCAAAAGAUAUAUUUUAUUACAGGCCUGGUUAAUAUGAAAGGAAAAUGGCCAUAAUUUUGACAUGGUAAAAUAAGAAAAACAUUUUUACAGAACUAUUCAUUCAUCUGAAGAUUCACUACUUCCUUUAUGCAUUCACUGGAAGACAUUUCACUGUUUCCUUUGUGAUUUAUUUCUUUGAAUCUUGUCUGAUUAAACACUGUAAGAUUUAUUUCUUCAAUAUUAUAUUCCUCAUGGAAUUUUAAUUGUAGAACAGUGGAAAAAGAGCUGGAGCAGAAUAAAAACAUAUUGAUUUAAUUCAA